ACAACGAAGAGUUUGAUCCUGGCUCAGGAUGAACGCUAGCGACAGGCUUAACACAUGCAAGUCGAGGGGCAGCGGGGGUAGCAAUACCCGCCGGCGACCGGCGCACGGGUGAGUAACGCGUAUGCAACUUACCUAUCAGAGGGGGAUAACCCGGCGAAAGUCGGACUAAUACCGCAUGAAGCAGGGGCCCCGCAUGGGGAUAUUUGCUAAAGAUUCAUCGCUGAUAGAUAGGCAUGCGUUCCAUUAGGCAGUUGGCGGGGUAACGGCCCACCAAACCGACGAUGGAUAGGGGUUCUGAGAGGAAGGUCCCCCACAUUGGUACUGAGACACGGACCAAACUCCUACGGGAGGCAGCAGUGAGGAAUAUUGGUCAAUGGGCGUAAGCCUGAACCAGCCAAGUCGCGUGAGGGAUGAAGGUUCUAUGGAUCGUAAACCUCUUUUAUAAGGGAAUAAAGUGCGGGACGUGUCCCGUUUUGUAUGUACCUUAUGAAUAAGGAUCGGCUAACUCCGUGCCAGCAGCCGCGGUAAUACGGAGGAUCCGAGCGUUAUCCGGAUUUAUUGGGUUUAAAGGGUGCGUAGGCGGCCUUUUAAGUCAGCGGUGAAAGUCUGUGGCUCAACCAUAGAAUUGCCGUUGAAACUGGGGGGCUUGAGUAUGUUUGAGGCAGGCGGAAUGCGUGGUGUAGCGGUGAAAUGCUUAGAUAUCACGCAGAACCCCGAUUGCGAAGGCAGCCUGCCAAGCCAUGACUGACGCUGAUGCACGAAAGCGUGGGGAUCAAACAGGAUUAGAUACCCUGGUAGUCCACGCAGUAAACGAUGAUCACUAGCUGUUUGCGAUACAGUGUAAGCGGCACAGCGAAAGCGUUAAGUGAUCCACCUGGGGAGUACGCCGGCAACGGUGAAACUCAAAGGAAUUGACGGGGGCCCGCACAAGCGGAGGAACAUGUGGUUUAAUUCGAUGAUACGCGAGGAACCUUACCCGGGUUUGAACGCAUUCGGACCGAGGUGGAAACACCUUUUCUAGCAAUAGCCGUUUGCGAGGUGCUGCAUGGUUGUCGUCAGCUCGUGCCGUGAGGUGUCGGCUUAAGUGCCAUAACGAGCGCAACCCUUGCCACUAGUUACUAACAGGUAAAGCUGAGGACUCUGGUGGGACUGCCAGCGUAAGCUGCGAGGAAGGCGGGGAUGACGUCAAAUCAGCACGGCCCUUACAUCCGGGGCGACACACGUGUUACAAUGGCGUGGACAAAGGGAGGCCACCUGGCGACAGGGAGCGAAUCCCCAAACCACGUCUCAGUUCGGAUCGGAGUCUGCAACCCGACUCCGUGAAGCUGGAUUCGCUAGUAAUCGCGCAUCAGCCAUGGCGCGGUGAAUACGUUCCCGGGCCUUGUACACACCGCCCGUCAAGCCAUGGGAGCCGGGGGUACCUGAAGUCCGUAACCGAAAGGAUCGGCCUAGGGUAAAACUGGUGACUGGGGCUAAGUCGUAACAAGGUAGCCGUACCGGAAGGUGCGGCUGGAACACCUCCUUU
rnacentral:rRNA from 1 species